CUCAACGCAGGCAUUUCUAUCUGGAACCUGACUACCUUGGGCAGAACUCAACUCUGCUCAACCAUGCACCCUGGAAUCCUGACAUCUUCUCUGGUUAUCAACAUUCCACCUGUCUGGUGAAAUGCUCACUUCAGGGUUGUGACCACAGAAGUACAAAAAUUACUAGCAGGUCUAAAGCAGAAGCAUUUCAGCUCUAAAGUACCUGAGGUAUCUCAUCAGACUAGAAGAAUGUCUUUAGGAGCAAGCCAACUGAAUCUCAAUGUCAUUGGUACAGCAAACUGGUUGAGCAAUGAUUAAUGACACAGCCACACCACCAGCUCAGGGCUUAGAAGGCUGCCAUCCAUGCUGGAAUGAAUCAUCUCCCUCAUGUCUUGGGAGGAAUCUCCUAGCUGUGUCUGUUUUAAUGUUCAGCCUGCAUGAAUCCAGCCAUGAACCAAGAAGGGAACUGCGUGUGUGUCUACCACUGGCUCCAAAACAGGUGGCAGAUGACAUUUGAGUUGCUGGGUGAGCUUCAUCAGCAAAGGGCAAAUCCUACAUCCUAGUUUUACACCUAUCUGAAACUAAAGACAC